rnacentral:tRNA from 1 species
GCAAUGGUGAUUCAGUGGUAGAAUUCUUGCCUUUCAUAUGGAAGACCCAGGUUUGAUUCUGGCCAAUGCA